GAUGAACGCUGGCGGCGUGCUUAACACAUGCAAGUCGAACGAAGAUGCCGGAGUGCUUGCACUUUGGCAGACUGAGUGGCGGACGGGUGAGUAACGCGUGGGUAACCUGCCUUAUACAGGGGGAUAACAGUUGGAAACGACUGCUAAUACCGCAUAAGCGCACGGUAUCGCAUGAUACAGUGUGAAAAACUCCGGUGGUAUAAGAUGGACCCGCGUCUGAUUAGCUUGUUGGUGAGGUAACGGCCCACCAAGGCGACGAUCAGUAGCCGGCCUGAGAGGGUGAACGGCCACAUUGGGACUGAGACACGGCCCAAACUCCUACGGGAGGCAGCAGUGGGAAUAUUGCACAAUGGGGGAAACCCUGAUGCAGCGACGCCGCGUGAGUGAUGAAGUAUUUCGGUAUGUAAAACUCUAUCAGCAGGGGAAGAUAAUGACGGUACCUGACUAAGAAGCACCGGCUAAAAUACGUG
rnacentral:rRNA from 1 species